rnacentral:rRNA from 1 species
CCUACGGGAGGCAGCAGUGGGGAAUAUUGGGCAAUGGAGGAAACUCUGACCCAGCGACGCCGCGUGCGGGAUGAAGGCCUUCGGGUUGUAAACCGCUUUCAGUAGGGAAGAAGCGAAAGUGACGGUACCUACAAAAGAAGCACCGGCUAACUAUGUGCCAGCAGCCGCGGUAAUACAUAGGGUGCAAGCGUUGUCCGGAAUUAUUGGGCGUAAAGAGCUCGUAGGUCGUUUGUUACGUCGGAUGUGAAAACCUGAGGCUCAACCUCAGGCCUGCAUUCGAUACGGGCAAACUAGAGUUUGGUAGGGGAGACUGGAAUUCCUGGUGUAGCGGUGGAAUGCGCAGAUAUCAGGAGGAACACCAAUGGCGAAGGCAGGUCUCUGGGCCAAUACUGACACUGAGGAGCGAAAGUCUGGGGAGCGAACAGGAUUAGAUACCCUGGUAGUCCAGACCGUAAACGGUGGGCACUAGUUGUGGGAACCUUCCACGGUUUCUGCGACGCAGCUAACGCAUUAAGUGCCCCGCCUGGGGAGUACGAUCGCAAGAUUAAAACUCAAAGAUAGUAGCGNGNGAGAGCGACGACGACGACGACGGAGGAGGAG